GAUGAACGCUGGCGGCGUGCCUAACACAUGCAAGUCGAGCGAAGAGGGGACGGGUGAGUAACACGUGGAUAACCCCCUAUAAGACUGGGAAAACUUCGGGAAACCGGAGCUAAAACGGAUGCUGAUAGAUGGAUCAGCUCUGCAUUAGGUAGUUGGUAAGGUAACGGCCUACCAAGGCAAAGAUGCAUAGCCGACCGGAGAGGGUGACCGGCCACACUGUAACUGAGACACGGUCCAGAGUCCUACGGGAGGCAGCAGUAGGGAAUCUUCCGCAAUGGGCGAAAGCCUGACGGAGCAACGCCGCGUGAGUGAUGAAGGUCUUCGGAUCGUAAAACUCUGUUAUUGGGGAAGCGGUACCUAAUCAGGAAGCCCCGGCUAACUACGUGCCAGCAGCCGCGGUAAUUC
rnacentral:rRNA from 1 species